GCCACCAGUGGCACCGUGGGCUAGUGCAUCUGACUGUUAACCAGAAGGUUGGUGGUUCAAGCCCAACCAGGGAUGGCCGUGGGCA